rnacentral:rRNA from 1 species
AUUGUUUAGAUCUGAAAUCAGGUGGGACUACCCGCUGAACUUAAGCAUAUCAAUAAGCGGAGGAAAAGAAACUAACAAGGAUUCCCCUAGUAACGGCGAGUGAAGCGGGAAAAGCUCAAAUUUAAAAUCUGGCAGGUACCCUGUCCGAGUUGUAGUUUCAAGAAGCGUUUUCGGUGCGCGUCCGGGUAUAAGUUCUUUGGAACAGGACAUCAUAGAGGGUGAGAAUCCCGUUUAUGACCCGGAACUGCGUACUAUGUGAUACGUUUUCUAAGAGUCAGGUUGUUUGGGAAUGCAGCCUAAAAUGGGUGGUAAAUUUCAUCUAAAGCUAAAUAUUGGCGAGAGACCGAUAGCGAACAAGUACCGUGAGGGAAAGAUGAAAAGAACUUUGAAAAGAGAGUUAAACAGUACGUGAAAUUGUUGAAAGGGAAACGUUUGAAAUCAGUCGUGCGGGCGGGUAAUCAGCUUGGCCUUUGGGUCUUGUGCACUUUCUCGUCUCGCAGGCCAGCGUCGGUUUUGUUUGCCGGAUAAAUGCCAAAGGAAUGUAGCUCCACCUUUCACGAGGAGGGGUCUUAUAGCCCUGGUAAAUACGGCGGUCGAGACCGAGGUCUGCAGUUGAUGCCUCUCGGGGCUGGGGACUCCAUCGCUCAUUCGCACCCGCGCCUAGACAGCUUGCUGACUAGGUGUGUGGUCUGUGGGUGACACGGUGGGCUUACCACACAUCGACUUGGGU